rnacentral:rRNA from 1 species
CCUACGGGUGGCAGCAGUGAGGAAUAUUGGUCAAUGGACGCAAGUCUGAACCAGACAUGCCGCGUGCAGGAAGACGGCGCUAUGAGGUGUAAACUGCUAUUGUACGAGGGUAAACGCAGAUACGUGUAUCUGUCUGAAAGUAUCGUACGAAUAAGGAUCGGCUAACGCCGUGCCAGCAGCCGCGGUAAUACGGAGGAUUCAAGCGUUAUCCGGAUUUAUUGGGUUUAAAGGGUGCGUAGGCGGUCGGAUAAGUUAGCGGUGCAAUCCCGAGGCUCAACUUCGGAAUUGCCUCUGAUACUGUUCGGCUAGUGCGUAGUUGCGGUAGGCGGAAUGUAUGGUGUAGCGGUGCAAUGCUU